rnacentral:sRNA from 1 species
AUCCAACGGCUGUCCUAGUGGACGGCCGUUUUUUUACAUUUCCUUUACCGGCAAAAAAAUUUAUUUAUGGAAAAUAUAAGCCGAAAAGAAGA